GAUGAACGCUGGCGGCGUGCCUAAUACAUGCAAGUCGAGCGAACGGACGAGAAUCUUGCUUCUCUGAUGUUAGCGGCGGACGGGUGAGUAACACGUGGAUCACCUACCUAUCAGACUGGGAUAACUUCGGGAAACCGGAGCUAAUCCCGGAUAAUAUUUUGAACCGCAUGGUUCAUAAGUGAAAGACGGUCUUGCUGGCAGUUAUAGAUGGAUCCGCGCUGUAUUAGCUGGUUGGUGGGGUCAGGGCUUACCAAGGCAACGAUGCGUAGCCGACCUGAGAGGGUGACCGGCCACAGUGGGACUGAGAUGCGGCCCAGACUGGUACGGGAGGCAGUAGUGGGGAAUAUUGCACAAUGGGGGGAAGCAUGAUGCAGCAACGCCGCGUGCGGGAUGACGGCCUUCGGGUUGUAAACCGCUUUCGCCUGUGACGAAGCGUGAGUGACGGUAAUGGGUAAAGAAGCACCGGCUAACUACGUG
rnacentral:rRNA from 1 species